rnacentral:tRNA from 1 species
GCCGCAGUGAUGGAGUGACAUACAUUUCCCGCUUAAACCGGGACGCCUGAAAUAUGGAUCGUGGGUUUGAAUCCCACCUGCGGCACCA